rnacentral:rRNA from 1 species
AGUCGACGGCAGCAUAGGAGCUUGCUCCUGAUGGCGAGUGGCGAACGGGUGAGUAAUAUAUCGGAACGUGCCCUAGAGUGGGGGAUAACUAGUCGAAAGACUAGCUAAUACCGCAUACGAUCUACGGAUGAAAGUGGGGGAUCGCAAGACCUCAUGCUCCUGGAGCGGCCGAUAUCUGAUUAGCUAGUUGGUGGGGUAAAAGCCUACCAAGGCAACGAUCAGUAGCUGGUCUGAGAGGACGACCAGCCACACUGGGACUGAGACACGGCCCAGACUCCUACGGGAGGCAGCAGUGGGGAAUUUUGGACAAUGGGGGCAACCCUGAUCCAGCAAUGCCGCGUGAGUGAAGAAGGCCUUCGGGUUGUAAAGCUCUUUUGUCAGGGAAGAAACGGUAGUAGCGAAUAACUAUUACUAAUGACGGUACCUGAAGAAUAAGCACCGGCUAACUACGUGCCAGCAGCCGCGGUAAUACGUAGGGUGCAAGCGUUAAUCGGAAUUACUGGGCGUAAAGCGUGCGCAGGCGGUUGUGUAAGUCAGAUGU